rnacentral:lncRNA from 1 species
CACAAAGGGUGCUGAAGUUGGUGCAUGAAUAUCGAGGUUUCAGCUGGUGACAGACUGCAUGGGUGGCAGCGAUGGGCCCCUGGGAACCGUAGCAGCUGGGAGGUGCCUAUCACCGACAUCACGGCUGUCCUGGUUCCACAGUGCAGUUAUGUGCCACAGUGCAGGUGUGUCAGUUACAACAGACCUACCGUGCAGCCAGUCGUAUAAAAUGCUGUGCACACCAUCUUUCUUGUUGCUAUUUAAAGAUUUAUUUACUUACUUGAGGUAGAGUUACAGACAGAUAGAGGGAGAGACAGAGAGGGAGGUCCUCCAUCCGCUGGUUCACUCCCCAAUAGGCUGCAAUGGCCAGAGCUGCGCCAAUCCAAAGCCAGGAGCCAGGAGCUUCUUCUGGGUUUCCUAUGUUGGUGCAGGGGCCCGAGAACUUGGGCCAUCUUCUGCUGCUUUCCCAGGGCAUCAGCAGGGAGCUGGAUUGGAAGUGGAGCAGCAGGGACUUGAACCAGGGCCCAUAUGGGAUGCCGGCACUGCAGGCGGAUGUCUACCUCCUACUCCCCAGCGCCGGCCCCGCACACCGUCUCGAUCAGGAUGAACAACUGUGUCCCCGGCUUACAGCUUUGCUGCACUCCACUUCCUAUCUCUGUUUUAGAGGGUACUCCACUACUUGCAAAACCCAAACCGUGAAGCGGUGCUGUGGGACGCCGGCGGCUGCCUGGUCCACCUCGUGGUCACCACAUCGCUUAUCUGCCCCGGGAGGACAUGCCGAGGGCUGGACCUGCACCAUCCAGGUGCUCGUGUAG